CUAACAAGGAUUCCCCUAGUAACGGCGAGUGAAGCGGGAUGAGCUCAAAUUUGUAAUCUGGCGGUCUCGCGGCCGUCCGAGUUGUAAUCUGGAGAAGCGUUUUCGGUGCCGGUCCGCGUACAAGUCCCCUGGAACGGGGCGUCGCAGAGGGUGAGAAUCCCGUCUUUGACGCGGUCCGCCGGUGCCGUGCGAUGCGCUCUCGAAGAGUCGAGUUGUUUGGGAAUGCAGCUCAAAACGGGUGGUAAAUUCCAUCUAAAGCUAAAUACUGGCGAAAGACCGAUAGCGAACAAGUACCGUGAGGGAAAGAUGAAAAGCACUUUGGAAAGAGAGUCAAACAGUACGUGAAAUUGUUGAAAGGGAAACGCUUGAAGUCAGUCGCGUCUCUCGGGACUCAGCCGGGUUGGUUCUCGGUGUAUUUCCCGAGUCUGGACGGGCCAGCAUCGGUUUCGACCGUCGUAAAAAGGUGUGAGGAACGUGGCACCCUUCUGGGUGUGUUAUAGCCUCUCGUCGUAUGCGACGGACGGGACUGAGGAACGCAGCGCGCCCCUUUCGGGGCCGGGGUUCGCCCACGUAACGCGCUUAGGAUGCUGGCGUAAUGGCUUUAA
rnacentral:rRNA from 1 species